UACCGUUGAGGGAAAGUUGAAAAGAACUUUGAAGAGAGAGUUCAAGAGUACGUGAAACCGUUCAGGGGUAAACCUGAGAAACCCAAAAGAUCGAAUGGGGAGAUUCAACGUAAGCUCGGCCGAUUGCCGUGCGGUAUCGCGAUAUUUACGAUCUCGGUCGUGAGUACGCUAUCGCUGCGGUUUAUCAUUGGUCGAGUCGGCGUGCACUUCUCCCCUAGUAGGACGUCGCGACCCGUUGGGUGUCGGCCUACGGCCCGCGCGGUCGACUGUCGCUUGGGCGUUUACGCGCUUUUCGCGGCAGACCCGUGGUCGCCCGGCCGACUGCCCGGCGGUAAUGAUUACAUUCACGUACGGUAUUUGGCCGCAUUUCUGUGCGUCCUGGCUCGUCGGCAGGCUCGCCUCGCUCGGUAAUUACGGACCUAGUGCCGUUGCCGGGUGCUUGGUGUGGCUUUUGCUCGACGAUGUCCUCGGACAGGCUAUUAACUACCGGUCGGCGACGCUACUGCUUUGGGUACUUUCAGGACCCGUCUUGAACACCCGGACCAAA
rnacentral:rRNA from 1 species